GGUGCUGCAUGGUUGUCGUCAGCUCGUGCCGUGAGGUGUCGGGUUAAGUCCCAUAACGAGCGCAACCCACGUCGUUAGUUGCCAACAGGUCAAGCUGGGAACUCUAACGAGACUGCCGGUGUAAACCGCGAGGAAGGUGUGGAUGACGUCAAAUCAGCACGGCCCUUACAUCCAGGGCUACACACGUGUUACAAUGGUCGGUACAGAGGGCAGCUACCAGGCAACUGGAUGCGAAUCUCAAAAACCGGUCUCAGUUCGGAUUGGAGUCUGCAACCCGACUCCAUGAAGCUGGAUUCGCUAGUAAUCGCGCAUCAGCCAUGGCGCGGUGAAUACGUUCCCGGGCCUU
rnacentral:rRNA from 1 species